rnacentral:rRNA from 1 species
UACGGAGGGGACUAGCGUUGUUCGGAAUUACUGGGCGUAAAGCGCACGUAGGCGGAUUUGUAAGUCAGGGGGUGAAAUCCCCGGGGGCUCAACCUCGGAACUGCCUUUGAUACUGCAAAUCUCGAGUCCGGAAGAGGUGAGUGGAAUUCCUAGUGUAGAGGUGAAAUUCGUAGAUAUUAGGAAGAACACCAGUGGCGAAGGCGGCUCACUGGCCCGGUACUGACGCUGAGGCGCGAAAGCGUGGGGAGCAAACAGG